rnacentral:lncRNA from 1 species
AGUGACUGGCCUAGCUUCCCAGGCUACAUCUUUCUACUGCGCUGUGCUGGAUGCUUCCUGUCCUUGAACAUCAGACUCUAAGUUCUUCAGUUCUGGGACUUGGACUGGCUCUCCUCACUCCUCAGCUUGCAGACAGUCUAUUGUGGGACCUUGUGAUCUUAUGACUACUCUCUUUUUGAGGAUCUAAGCCUUACUAGAAACUGAACACUUAACCAUGGGACAUCAAGUUCUCAUCUGACCAGACCUGCUCAUCAUGAAUUUGGUAUUAUUCUGACCAACAAGCUGUGAAGUUGGGCAUGAACAGCAGCAAAUAGAAGUAAUAUGUGUAUGAUCAGGCUGGAGCAGGCCCUGAAGGCACAAGGUUCAAGUUAUCAAGGAGAAGAGCGAACAUCACUCAAAGACCUUUCCUCUUCUUCCAGCAAGAAGGCCCUUACCAGAUGCCAGCACCUUGAAAUUGGUCUUUCUAGCCUCCAGAUCUGUCAUUCAUGCAUCUGUGAUCAGCUGCCAGACUGGGUGGAGGCUGGUUCAUCUGAAAUGACUUCAGCUAGGAUGACCUGACUCUGCUUUUUUACAUUUAAGUAUCUUCUGAGGCUUAUUCACACGACAGUAAUAGAGAUCCAAAAGCAAAAUGGGAAAUAUGCAAAAUCUUUCAAGGGCUAGGCACAAAAUUAGUCUGUUAUUUCUACCACAUUUUACUAAUCAAUGCAAGUUAUAAGGUCAGACAAGAUUUAAGGGGUGAAGAAAGAGUGGCAAAGUUGCUAUACAAAGAGGAGUGGAUAUAGGAAGAGAUAAAGAAUUAUGGUUAUUUUUGCAAUCUCAUGCAAAUAGCAUUUUUGCAAUAUAAGUUUAGUUUCAUGGCUUUAUUGAGAAAAGCUUAAAUCAAAAACUGCAGAAUCUUUUUGUGUGUGUUUUUUAUUCCCCUGGCACAUUCUAGCAUAUACUUACAAAUACCAAUUCCUGGCAUGGAUGCAGAUCAACUGCUAAUGAGAAUGCGAAAUAAUACGGCCACUUUGGAAAACAGUUUGAUAAUUUCUUAUAAAAAGUUAAUUAUACACUU